GCGCUGGUAUGAUCGAGCUCUUUUGGGCCUAACAACAACAUCUUAUUAUUUACAUCAGCAAACGUUACAUGAAAGUCUCAUCAGAGUUGCUGAUGUUGAGGAAACCAAUUCUGGUUUCCCAUUUUGGGCACCUUCAAUGAAAAAAUGGGUCUUCUGAUGGUUGGGUGUUUGGGUAUAGAAAACGAUAUUCUAGAUGACUGCUUGGAUGAGUAGGUGGCGACAUAGUAAGUAAUACACAAGAACAAGUACUGGCGAUUUGACCGCCGCAUAUUGAAAUUCCUUGGGUCUGAGAAAGGAUUACCCGUUGAUACGAGUGGCCGCCUCAUAUCCUACAAAGGGGAGGGAAAAAAACCAUUAGAGAUAUGAUAUGAGUCUAGGCUAUUGACGGCAGCUUAUUUAUCAGCUAGUUACAGCAUAGAAAGAUGGAGUGAAAGUAAUUCUAUACACUGUACAUUCAAUGAGA
rnacentral:sRNA from 1 species